AUCGCCAGGGAAUUACAAGCUCAAACUUAAAACCCAAAGGACUUGACGGUGCCCCACUCCCCCUAGAGGAGCCUGUACUACAAUCGAUUUUGCCCGCUAAACCCGACUGCUUUUUGAUUAAUCAGCUUGUAUACUUCCGUCGUAAGCUCACCAUGCUGAAUUGAUAAUGUAGUGAGCCUAAAGGCUUACCCCCCCAAUACGUCAGGUCAAGGUGCAGCCCACAAAGCAGAUAGUAAUGGGCUACAGUUUCUACAAUAGAACAUAACGAAAAUAAACUAUACGAAAUAUAGCCACGAAGGAGGAUUUAGAAGUAAAAAGAAAAUAAAUUGUUCUUUUUAAAUAAGGUGCUGGGGCGCGUACAGACCGCCCGUCACCCUCUUCAACUAAACCUAAUUGAUUAAUAACCUAAUAAUUUAACACAGAA
rnacentral:rRNA from 1 species